GGGGAUUUGGCUCAGUGGUAGAGCCCUUGCCUAGGAAGCGCAAGGUCCUGGGUUCGGUCCCCAGCCCCG
rnacentral:tRNA from 1 species